CGGGGUGCACCAGGCGCGAAAACUUUACAAUGCUGGAAACAGCGAUAAGGGGACCUCGAGUGCCAGGUUACAAAUCUGGCUGUCGUGAUGCCUAAAAAGCAUUGCAUAGCAAGGGCCGGGCAAGACCGGUGCCAGCCGCCGCGGUAACACCGGCGGCUCGAGUGGUAACCGUUAUUAUUGGGUCUAAAGGGUCUGUAGCCGGCCGGAUAAGUCUCUUGGGAAAUCCAGCAGCUCAACUGUUGGGCUUUCAGGAGAUACUGUCUGGCUCGAGGCCGGGAGAGGUGAGAGGUACUUCAGGGGUAGGGGUGAAAUCUUGUAAUCCUUGAAGGACCACCAGUGGCGAAGGCGUCUCACCAGAACGGACCUGACGGCAAGGGACGAAAGCUAGGGGCACGAACCGGAUUAGAUACCCGGGUAGUCCUAGCCGUAAACGAUACUCGCUAGGUGUCGGCCACGGUGCGACCGUUGUCGGUGCCGUAGGGAAGCCGUGAAGCGAGCCACCUGGGAAGUACGGCCGCAAGGCUGAAACUUAAAGGAAUUGGCGGGGGAGCACAAGGGCGAUUCGC
rnacentral:rRNA from 1 species